CAGUAGCCGCGGUAAGACGAGGGAUCCUAGCGUUGUUCGGAAUCAUUGGGCGUAAAGAGUAUGUAGGCGGCUUGGUAAGUCAGUUGUGAAAUCCCCGGGCUUAACCCGGGAAGUGCAAUUGAUACUGCUAAGCUUGAAUUUGGAAGAGGGUAGUGGAAUUCCUGGUGUAGUGGUGAAAUACGUCGAUAUCAGGAGGAACACCGGAGGCGAAGGCGGCUACCUGGUCAUAAAUUGACGCUGAGAUACGAAAGCAUGGGGAGCAAACAGGAUUAGAUACCCCUGUAGUCCCUGUCUCUUAUAA
rnacentral:rRNA from 1 species